GAUGAGUGAGGAUCGUUAGUCGCGUUGAAAACGUUCCUCAAGUUAAGAGUUCGUGACUAGAUCUGACACUCGUCCA
rnacentral:pre_miRNA from 1 species